rnacentral:rRNA from 1 species
CAAUAGCGUAUAUUAAAGUUGUUGCAGUUAAAAAGCUCGUAGUUGAAUUUUUGCUUGCCGCCGAUGUCGGAACUUCCGUACGUUCGGCGGCGUGCAUCCUUGGGUGGAACCUGUGUGGCAUUAGGUUGUCGUGCAGGGGAUGCUCAUCGUUUACUGUGACAAAAUUAGAGUGUUCAAAGCAGGCUUACGCCGUUGAAUAUAUUAGCAUGGAAUAAUAAGAUAGGACCUUGGUACUAUUUUGUUGGUUUGCGCACCGAGGUAAUGAUUAACAGGGACAGUUGGGGGUAUUCGUAUUCCAUUGUCAGAGGUGAAAUUCUUGGAUUUCUGGAAGACGAACUACUGCGAAAGCAUUUACCAAGGAUGUUUUCAUUAA